UGGGGAAUAUUGGACAAUGGGCGCAAGCCUGAUCCAGCAAUGCCGCGUGUGUGAAGAAGGCCUUCGGGUUGUAAAGCACUUUUAUCAGGAGCGAAACGCUGUCGGCUAAUACCCGGCGGAACUGACGGUACCUGAGGAAUAAGCACCGGCUAACUUCGUGCCAGCAGCCGCGGUAAUACGAAGGGUGCAAGCGUUAAUCGGAAUUACUGGGCGUAAAGCGUGCGUAGGCGGUUUCUUAAGUCUGCUGUGAAAUCCCCGGGCUCAACCUGGGAAUGGCAGUGGAUACUGGGAGGCUAGAGUGUGUCAGAGGGUGGUGGAAUUCCCGGUGUAGCGGUGAAAUGCGUAGAGAUCGGGAGGAACAUCAGUGGCGAAGGCGGCCACCUGGGACAACACUGACGCUGAGGCACGAAAAGCGUGGGGAGCAAACAGGAUUAGAUACCCUGGUAGUCCACGCCCUAAACGAUGCGAACUGGAUGUUGGUCUCAACUCGGAGAUCAGUGUCGAAGCUAACGCGUUAAGUUCGCCGCCUGGGGAGUACGGUCGCAAGACUGAAACUCAAAUGAAUUGAC
rnacentral:rRNA from 1 species